GCGCGCAUCGACGCAUCGCCACGCGCGGCGCAUUCAUAAUGCGAAGGUCGGGGGUUCGAUUCCUCUUUCCGGCACCA
rnacentral:tRNA from 1 species